GCGCAGAGGGGAGAUAUUUUUCUAGUUCAGCAGUUGUUUGAGCAUAUGUCGUCCUAGAAAGUCUGAGGUCAUUAGCUCUUUUGUUAAGAGCUUCUUUCAGAGUCCUAUUUUCCUCUUCCAGCAUGCAUAAUUGCUCAGAGAGGAAGUUAAUAUUUCUGUUUGGAGUAUCAGGAGCCGUCUCUGAAGUUAAGUCCACUGAACCAUUUGGAGACGGAUUUGACUUCCUUAUCCUCAUUUUAG
rnacentral:misc_RNA from 1 species